GGUCAAGCUACUAAGGGCAUGCGGUGAAUGCCUUGGCACUAGAAGGCGAUGAAGGGCGUGAAAAGCUGCGAUAAGCAACGGUGAGGAGCACUUAUCCAUUGACCCGUUGAUUUCCGAAUGGGGGAACCCUAUAUACUACUGCUUGAAUACAUAGAGCAGAAAGAGCUAACUCAGGGAAGUGAACCAUCUCAGUACCUGAAGGAAGAGAAAAUAAUAAUGAUUCUGGGAGUAGCGGCGAGCGAAACCGGACCAGCCUAAACCAGUGGGGCUUGCUCCAUUGGGGUCGUGGGACCAGAUACAACGGAUCGAGAAAAUUAGCGGAAAGGUGUGGAAAAGCCUACCAUAGGGCGUGAUAGUCGCGUACGCGAAAAUUUUCAAAAUCUAUUCUGGCACCCGAGUAAUGCGGGACACGAGGAAUCUUGCAUGAAUUUGCCGGGACCAUCCGGUAAGGCUAAAUACUCUCUAGUGACCGAUAGUGAACCAGUACCGUGAGGGAAAGGUGAAAAGAACCCCGGUGAGGGGAGUGAAAUAGUACCUGAAACCGCAUGCUUACAAGCAGUCGGAGGUUCGAAAGGACUGACGGCGUGCCUUUUGCAUAAUGAGCCGGCUAGU
rnacentral:rRNA from 1 species